CUGUUCCGGUCUAGAGUCAUAAUAGCCACGUAGGGUGGAGUGACAACUCCACAGCUAACUUAUACUUUUAGAAAUAUAUCUCUCGCAACUAUAAUAUAUAUAUAUAUAUAUAUCAACAUAUAAGUAUAUUGCAUACCUUCCGUACACUCUGGCUCCCGUCUUAUACACUAAAUAAUGCCGCUUCGUUUGGAUAUAAAGAGGAAGUUGUCAGCACGGUCUGAUCGUGUGAAAUGUGUAGACUUACACUCAUCGGAGCCAUGGAUGUUGGCCAGCCUGUACAACGGCAAUGUUCAUAUUUGGAAUCUAGAAUCACAGCAACUGAUUAAAUCUUUUGAAAUCUGUGAUCUUCCCGUGCGAGCUGCAAGGUUUGUGUCCCGCAAGAACUGGAUUAUUACAGGAUCUGAUGACAUGCAUAUCCGUGUUUUCAACUACAACACAUUGGAGAGAGUGUUUCAGUUUGAAGCACAUUCGGACUAUGUUCGUACCAUCGCAGUACAUCCCACUCAACCAUACAUCCUGACAAGCAGCGAUGACAUGUUAAUCAAGCUGUGGGACUGGGAGAAAAAAUGGGCAUGUACCCAGGUAUUUGAGGGACAUACCCACUACGUCAUGCAAAUUGUCAUUAACCCUAAGGACAAUAACACAUUCGCCAGUGCUUCCCUUGACAGAACUGUUAAGGUGUGGCAGCUGGGAUCGUCAACACCAAAUUUUACCUUGGAGGGUCACGAGAAAGGAGUCAACUGUGUAGACUAUUAUUCCGGUGGCGAUAAACCGUAUCUGAUAUCUGGAGCUGAUGACAGACUGGUCAAGAUCUGGGACUAUCAGAACAAAACUUGUGUACAGACCCUGGAGGGUCAUGCCCAGAAUCUUUCAGCUGUUGCAUUUCAUCCAGAGUUGCCUAUCAUUUUGACUGGUUCCGAAGAUGGAACUGUCAGAAUAUGGCACGCCAACACUUACCGUCUUGAGAGUACACUAAAUUAUGGAUUAGAAAGAGUUUGGACUAUUGCCUGUCAGAAAGGAUCAAACAACGUUGCUCUUGGUUACGAUGAAGGAAGCAUCAUCAUAAAGCUUGGCCGUGAAGAACCAGCCAUGACCAUGGAUGUCAACGGCAAAAUUAUUUGGGCAAAACACUCGGAGAUCCAGCAAGCAAACAUCAAGACUAUUGGGGACCAAGAAAUCCGGGAUGGUGAAAGAUUGCCCCUCGCAGUGAAGGACAUGGGCAGUUGUGAGGUUUAUCCACAGAGCAUACAACACAACCCUAAUGGCAGAUUUGUGGUGGUGUGUGGUGAUGGAGAAUACAUAAUAUACACAGCAAUGGCACUGAGGAACAAGAGUUUCGGUCCUGCGCAGGAAUUUGUGUGGAGCAAUGAUUCUGCUGUCUAUGCCAUCCGAGAGAGUAACAGUUUGGUGAAGAUCUCCAAGAACUUCAAGGAGCAGAAGACAUUCAAACCUGAUUUUGGUGCAGAAGGUAUCUAUGGUGGCCAUCUACUCGGAGUACGUUCUGUUAGUGGUUUAGCUUUUUAUGACUGGGAAUCGACAGACCUUAUUAGAAGAAUUGAAAUAACGCCAAAACAUAUCUACUGGAGUGACAAUGGAGAAUUGGUGUGUAUCUCUACUGAGCAGUCAUUCUUCAUCCUUAAGUACUCGGCUGAGGCAUUUGAGAAGGCCAAGGAUACUAAGGAAGGAGUCACCGAAGACGGUAUUGAGGAAGCUUUUGAUGUUGUUGGUGAGAUUGAAGAAUCGGUCCGGACUGGUAUUUGGGUUGGUGAUUGUUUUAUUUACACCAAUGGAGUCAACCGACUCAACUACUAUGUUGGCGGUGAGAUCGUCACCAUUGCACACCUGGACAGAGUGAUGUACCUACUGGGAUACAUUCCAAAGGAUAACCGUCUCUAUCUUGGCGAUAAGGAACUCAAUGUCGUCAGCUAUUCCCUGCUACUGUCUGUUCUGGAAUACCAAACUGUGGUGAUGAGACGCGACUUUGAGACUGCUGACAAGGUUCUGCCCACAAUCCCUAGGGAGCAACGGACCAGAGUGGCUCACUUUUUGGAAAAACAGGGUUUCAAAUCUCAAGCUCUUGCAGUGACCUGUGACCCUGAACAUAAAUUUGAACUGGCUUUACAACUGGGUGACCUCCGAGUGGCCUAUCAACUUGCAAAGGAAGCUGAGUCUGAGCAGAAAUGGAAACUUCUUGCUGAGCUGGCUAUCAACAAGUGUGAGUUUGGCCUGGCUCAAGAGUGUCUCCACCAAGCACAGGACUUUGGUGGCCUUCUCCUACUGGCUACAUCUGCUGGUAACACAGACAUGGUCCUUCGUCUUGGUCAAACAGCAGAGAAAGCCUCACAGAAUAAUGUUGCAUUCCUCUCUUACUUUGCUCUUGGAAAACUUGAUGAAUGUUUAGAAGUCCUCAUCAACACCAACCGUCUGCCUGAAGCUGCCUUCUUUGCCAGGACAUAUCUACCAAGCCAGAUAUCACGAGUUGUAAAACUGUGGCGGGAAGCUUUGUCUAAGAUCAACAAACGUGCUGCUGAUUCUUUGGCAGACCCAACCGAUUACGAGAACCUUUUCCCUGGUUUGAAGGACACUUUCAAAACUGAGCAAUAUCUCCAACCCCAGUAUUCUAUAUCUUUGCCAGCCACAGCCUACGGCAGCCGACCAUUGAACUCUGAAAGGAACCCUGUGGAAGAAAUGUUGAAAGCUGAAGCGGAAGGGAAGUUUGUGUACAAACCAAGCGAUGGUGACAAGAGCAGUGAUCCGACAGAGGACUCUACGUACAACGAAGCAGAGGUGGUAUGUGACACCGGCACGUCCGACGACGACGCCAACCGUCAUUUUGGACAGGAUGACCACCAACAACCACUACUGCAACCACUACAACCACAACCACCACCACCACAACAACAAGUAGAAAAGGAAGCAGCAGCAGCUGAAACAGUGCCAACUCUUCCUGCUGCUACUCCCACUGCUACUCCUGCCGCUCUUCCUACUCCGGCGUCUCCCUCACCCUCACCCUCCCCGCCACCCUCCACCGCCGCUUUGCCUCCCCCCGUUGCUGUCACUCCGUCCCAUGCCGCAAUUGUGAAAGAUGAUGACAAAAAGGAGGAGGAGGAGGAGGAGGAGAAGAAGAAGAAGACUGGGGGUCUGACCUCUCCGACCCACCAGAGCCUGCUGUUGGUGCACCCCAUGCUACUGCUCGCAGUCUGUCUCCUACCCCAUCCCCACCUCCAUCUAAACCUCCUGCUGACCCAUUGGAGCUCCAUGAUAAAGACAACAUCGCCCAACAUACUGAAAGUGAAACAGCAUCAACAGAAAAAUCUGUAGACUCAAUAUUGUCAAAACAAGCUGUGUCAGACCUGGAGAAAGAAUUGGAAUUGGAUUUAGAGAACUUGAACCUUGAUAAUGUUGAUACUUCAGAUGUCAAUUUAGAUGAUGAUUUGUUAGAAGACUAGAGACAAGAUGACAGACCCAUAGCUCUGAACUCCGAUGAUCAACAAGCACACAUUUCUGGACUAGUUUACUGCCACUACUCACUCCACAUCACAAACCACAAACGUCUGCCUCAACAUGCAAACUCUGAACUCCAGUUCACCACCACCACCACCUCCACCAGCUACAUACACACACUGUACCCCAUAUCCUUAUAUUCUCUACUAGCACUAUCCCCCCCUCCCCUUCCCACUCUCUUCUCCUCAUACUUCUGCUGUGUCACUCACUCUACAGUUGUAUAUCAUUCCAGAAGUCUUGACUGACAGAAGAUGGUUUCUUGUCCAAAUUUGAAUGUGGAUCACAGUUUCUGACUUUUAAAGGACUGCAGUGGCUGCAUAGGUUACAGUAGUGGUGGUGGUGGUAGUGGUGAUGAUUUGUUUUGUUUUGUUUGUUUUGUUUUUUUUUGUUUUUGUUUUUGUAGUAUAACUAAUUUGGUCUGUUUAGCUGGAGCAAAACCGCUACAGCUCUGAUGGCUUCACAUCUGAUAACAGUGAAGAAACUUGUCAUUAUGCAUAUAUACACAUAUAUAGAUAGAUAGAUAUACGCAUACACACAUACAUAUGGAGAGGAUGUGUAUAUACAUUAACAGGUAUGUAUAUAUGGGUGUGGUUCUUUAAACCAUCACAACUACGGCCACACUGGAGCAUCAUUUUCAUAUGCAUACAUGUGUGUAUGUGUGAGUGUAUGUAUGUGUGUGUGUAUAUAUAUAUAUAUUUGUAUGCAUGUGUGUGUGUAUGUGUAUGUAUAUUUAUAUAUGUAUGUGUGUAUAUACAUAUGAAUGUAUGCCUGCACACACACUUCAUUUAGCAAGAUUGGGGGAAAUGCUAAUUAUCAAAUUAUUUUGACUAAUUUGAGGAAGUCGUUUGAAUAAAAAACCUAUCAUUAUUAUUAUUACUGGGAGUAGUGGUGGUGGAUGUGAUCUUUUAUCAUUAUUAUUAUUAAUAUUAAUAUUAUUAUUAUUAUUAUUAUUACCACUACAUUGAAAAUCCUAUUAAAGUUUCACAAAUGAAA
rnacentral:misc_RNA from 1 species